UACGGAGGGUGCAAGCGUUAUCCGGAUUUACUGGGUUUAAAGGGUGUGUAGGCGGGCUUUUAAGUCAGUGGUGAAAUCUCCGGGCUCAACCCGGAAACUGCCAUUGAUACUAUUAGUCUUGAAUUUUGUUGAGGUAGGCGGAAUAAGUCAUGUAGCGGUGAAAUGCAUAGAUAUGACUUAGAACACCAAUUGCGAAGGCAGCUUACUAAGCAAAUAUUGACGCUGAGGCACGAAAGCGUGGGGAUCAAACAGG
rnacentral:rRNA from 1 species